AUUGCACGCUGGCGGCAGGCCUAACACAUGCAAGUCGAGCGGAGCGGCGGACGGGUGAGUAAUGCCUAGGAAUCUGCCUGGUAGUGGGGGAUAACGUCCGGAAACGGGCGCUAAUACCGCAUACUCUAAGAUGAGCCUAGGGCGGAUUAGCUAGUUGGUGGGGUAAAGGCCUACCAGGGCGACGAUCCGUAACUGGUCUGAGAGGAUGAUCAGUCCACCUGGAACUGGGACCCGGUCCAGACUCCUACGGGAGGCAGCAGGGGGGAAUCUUCCGCAAUGGGCGAAAGUCUGACGGAGCAACGCCGCGUGAGUGAUGACGGCCUUCGGGUUGUAAAGCUCUGUUAAUCGGGACGCGGUACCGGAAUAGAAAGCCACGGCUAACUACGUGCCAGCAGCCGCGGUAAUAC
rnacentral:rRNA from 1 species